GAUGAAGAACGCAGCGAAAUGCGAUAAGUAGUGUGAAUUGCAGAAUUACCUGAAUCAUCGAAUCUUUGAACGCACAUUGCGCCCCCUGGUAUUCCUGGGGGCAUGCCUGUUCGAGCGUCAUUAACAACCAAUCGGGCGGGGCUUUUGCAUGCUCCCGCUCGGCCAUGGGGGAUGGACGUCGUCGGACGCCCACCCCCGAAAUGCAACGGCGGACGGCCACCCGUGGCACUGCGGCGUAGUAAGUUAACCCUUCGCGCGCGCCCACGGAGUGGACUGCCCGGCCGCUUGAACCCCCACACAUCCUACGGUUGACCUCGGAUCAGGUAGGGAUACCCGCUGAACUUAAGCAUAUCAAUAAGCGGAGGA
rnacentral:misc_RNA from 1 species